rnacentral:rRNA from 1 species
GAUGAACGCUGGCGGCGUGCUUAACACAUGCAAGUCGAGCGAGUGAGUUCUUCGGAACGAUCUAGCGGCGGACGGGUGAGUAACACGUGGGCAACCUGCCUCAUAGAGGGGAAUAGCCUCCCGAAAGGGAGAUUAAUACCGCAUAAAAUUAUCGAGUGGCAUCACAUGAUAAUCAAAGGAGUAAUCCGCUAUGAGAUGGGCCCGCGGCGCAUUAGCUAGUUGGGGAGGUAACGGCUCACCAAGGCGACGAUGCGUAGCCGACCUGAGAGGGUGAUCGGCCACAUUGGGACUGAGACACGGCCCAGACUCCUACGGGAGGCAGCAGUGGGGAAUAUUGCACAAUGGGGGAAACCCUGAUGCAGCAACGUCGCGUGAGUGAUGAAGGUCUUCGGAUUGUAAAGCUCUGUCUUUGGGGACGAUAAUGACGGUACCCAAGGAGGAAGCCACGGCUAACUACGUGCCAGCAGCCGCCGCGG